UGGGUUCUAGGGUUCAACUCUAGGUUUUGUGAGAAGAAAAUACAAGAGUGAGUCUUGUCCAAUCUUUUACACCACCACCUCCUCAUAAAGCUUCAUCUUCUGAUCCAUAGAAGUUUGAGAGAUCCAAAGAAAGAAGCUAGGAUCAGCCAUCCAGAGCCUUCGAUGCGAGCUAGCACUCCCGUAAAGGAAGAUCCGAUCAGAGCUUCGAGUGGACGAUCUGUAGAGACCGGAUGACC
rnacentral:lncRNA from 1 species